GAAUCCAUCCUUCAGCACAGCAGAGAGACUGCCUGGAAGAGAGAGAGAGAGAGACUUGAGUGUCUCACACACGUCAUUCCGUCCUCUUGAGAGCUUGUUCUUUAUAAAAAAAACAAUGAACCUUGGAGUUACAGGGUGAUGAGAUGGCAGGAUGCCACAUUUCCAUUGCUGGCGCUCACACACACACACACAAAAUAGGUCAGCGAGACCACAGCACCACUUCAGUGGAUCCCGAUGAUGAAGAACUGAUAAGGAAGACGAUGAGAUGGAAAUGAGACAAAGCAAAACAUCUGGAUGGACACACAUACUCAUGAUAACACUCACGGUAUCAGUGAAUCUGCUCUCCCCGA